rnacentral:rRNA from 1 species
GACGAACGCUGGCGGCGUGCCUAAUACAUGCCAGUAGAACGCUGAAGGAGGAGCUUGCUUCUCUGGAUGAGUUGCGAACGGGUGAGUAACGCGUAGGUAACCUGCCUGGUAGCGGGGGAUAACUAUUGGAAACGAUAGCUAAUACCGCAUAAGAGUAGAUGUUGCAUGACAUUUGCUUAAAAGGUGCAAUUGCAUCACUACCAGAUGGACCUGCGUUGUAUUAGCUAGUUGGUGGGGUAACGGCUCACCAAGGCGACGAUAGAUAGCCGACCUGAGAGGGUGAGAGGCCACGCUGGGACGGAGACACGGCCAAGAAUCCUGCGGGAGGCAGCAGUAGGGAAUCUUCGGGAAUGGAAGGAAGUCUGAACGAGCAACGCCGGGCGAGUGAAGAAGGGUGUCGGAUCGUAAAGCUCUGUUGUAAGAGAAGAACGAGUGUGAGAGUGGAAAGUUCACACUGUGACGGUAUCUGAACAGAAAGGGACGGCUAACUACGUG